rnacentral:rRNA from 1 species
AGCAGCCGCGGUAAUUCCAGCUCCAAUAGCGUAUAUUAAAGUUGUUGCAGUUAAAAAGCUCGUAGUUGAAUUUCGGGAUCAGUACGCUGGUCAUGCCUUUGGUAUGCACUGGUGUCACUGGUUUCUCCCUUCUGAAGAUCCGUGAUGUCAUUAAUUUGGUGUCGCGGGGAAUCAGGACUGUUACUUUGAAAAAUUGAGUGUUUAAAGCAGGCUCACGCUUGAAUACAUUAGCAUGGAAUAAUGAAAUAGGACGUUUGACCCUAUUUGUGGUUUCUAGGAUCGACGUAAUGAUUAAUAGGGAUAGUUGGGGCAUUAGUAUUCAAUUGUCAGAGGUGAAAUUCUUGGAUUUAUUGAAGACUAACUACUGCGAAAGCAUUUGCCAAGGAUGUUUCAUUAAUCAAGAACGAAAGUUAGGGAUACGAAGACGAUACAGA